CCCCCAGGCCUAGGGCAGGAUCGGAGCAAAGCUCUGGAAGGCUCUGUCCUGGGCUCUUCAUCUGGCCACUUCUUUGUCCCCACUUCUCUACCUGCCUGCCCCUGUACCUGCUCCAGAGACUGUGUGCUUCCCGUCCCAAGCAGGGAAUCCGAAGCGCUUCCUCUUUUCCUGCCCUUACCUCCCUGUGCUUGAAGAGACACUGAGCGGGAGGACUAAUUCCAACAGUUGCAAGGGCCAGGAUGUGUCUGCUCUUUGCAGUGGGGCUGGGGGUCCCUGUGGUUCCUCAGUUAGACUUCUGUUCCAGAUGUAUGGCUUACUUCGAAGCAAUUCAGCCCUUGUAUUCCUCACUCCUCCCUGGACGACAAGAUCUGCUUGCCCCUCACACCUCAGCUUCUGCCAUUUCUGGAGCCCAACUAUGUGCCAAAUACCAUUAGUUGCAUUAUCUCGAUCCAUAGAACAGCCCAAUGAAAUAGGUUUUCAUUUCCCUGUUACUGAUGAGGAAACUAAGGCUCUGAGAGGUUGGGUAACACAGCCUGGAAGACUGUCCCAGAGCUGCUAUGAGGAUUAGAUAAUACUUGUAGUUACUUCCCCUGAGCUCAGCACACACAAUGACCUCUUGGAAUGGAGUUCACUGUUAUUGGUAUUAUCAUAAAGUGAUGGAGCUGGGAGUGGCCCUCGCUCUGCCUGCCUCCAGAGCUGGCACCCACCACUGACUCGGAGUGGGUCUGUUCUUGAGAAGCCUGGGAUGGGUGGGGGAUGCAGGCGAGGGCCGAGUUGCUGGAUGUGGGCAGUCAUUUGGGUGACCCCUAAUCCCCUUGGCACAGCGAGUAUCAACCAGGGUGGCAGGCAUUGCCUCACAUUCACAGUGGCUAACAUUUCAACACCAUCCCCACUACCCUCCGAGGCUUUUUAUAUUUUGUUUACCUUUUACUAAUUUUAUAUGCUAAAGAGUUUAAAGAUUUCCACCC